GGGGAUUUAACUCAGCGGCAUAAGCGCCUGCCUUGCAAGCAGGCAGUCGAAAGUUCAAUCCCUA
rnacentral:tRNA from 1 species